UGGGGAAUAUUGCACAAUGGGCGAAAGCCUGAUGCAGCGACGCCGCGUGAGGGAUGACGGCCUUCGGGUUGUAAACCUCUUUCAGCAGGGACGAAGCGCAAGUGACGGUACCUGCAGAAGAAGCACCGGCUAACUACGUGCCAGCAGCCGCGGUAAUACGUAGGGUGCAAGCGUUGUCCGGAAUUACUGGGCGUAAAGAGUUCGUAGGCGGUUUGUCGCGUCGUUUGUGAAAACCAGCAGCUCAACUGCUGGCUUGCAGGCGAUACGGGCAGACUUGAGUACUGCAGGGGAGACUGGAAUUCCUGGUGUAGCGGUGAAAUGCGCAGAUAUCAGGAGGAACACCGGUGGCGAAGGCGGGUCUCUUGGCAGUAACUGACGCUGAGGAACGAAAGCGUGGGUAGCGAACAGG
rnacentral:rRNA from 1 species